ACUAUCUUGCUUGCAAGAGAAAUCUUAGUGGCGAACGGGUGAGUAACACGUAAGAAUCUGCCCUUAGGCUGGGGAAAAAGAUAGAAACGACUGCUAAUACCCAAUAUGUGCAUACGCCAAAGCUCCGGCGCCUAAGGAUGAGCUUGCGUCUGAUUAGCUAGUUGGUGAGGUAAAGGCUCACCAAGGCAACGAUCAGUAGCUGGUCUGAGAGGAUGAUC
rnacentral:rRNA from 1 species